AUACCUUAAAGGUAACUCGUCCCCAAUCAUGAAGUUGGUUUUCCCAGGGUGAGGCUUAUCCAUUGCACUCUGGAUGUGCCGACUCCUGUGAUUUCCUCAAAUGUGGGAAACUCAACUGCAUAAUUUGUGGUAGUGGGGGACUGCAUUUGCACUACCCCCCU